CGCUCCGGUGGAUUUGUUUGAUACAUGCAGUCGAGCGACAGAAAGGAGCUUGCUCCUUUGACGUUAGCGGCGGACGGGUGAGUAACACGUGGGCAACCUACCCUAUAGUUUGGGAUAACUCCGGGAAACCGGGGCUAAUACCGAAUAAUCUCUUUUGCUUCAUGGUGAAAGACUGAAAGACGGUUUCGGCUGUCGCUAUAGGAUGGGCCCGCGGCGCAUUAGCUAGUUGGUGAGGUAACGGCUCACCAAGGCGACGAUGCGUAGCCGACCUGAGAGGGUGAUCGGCCACACUGGGACUGAGACACGGCCCAGACUCCUACGGGAGGCAGCAGUAGGGAAUCUUCCACAAUGGGCGAAAGCCUGAUGGAGCAACGCCGCGUGAGUGAAGAAGGUUUUCGGAUCGUAAAAUUCUGUUUGUAAGGGAAGAACAAGUACAGUAGUAACUGGUUGUACCUUGACGGUACCUUUAUUAGAAAGCCACGGCUAAACUACGUGCCAGCAGCCGCGUUAAUACGUAGGUGGCAAGCGUUGUCCGGAAUUUAUUGGGCGUAAAAGCGCGCGCAGGGCGGUCCUUUAAGUCUGAUGUGAAAAGCCCACGGCUCACCCGUGGAGGGUCAUUGUAAACUGGGGGGACUUGAGUGCAGAAGAGGAUAGUGGAAUUCCAAGUGUAGCGGGUGAAAUGCGUAGAGAUUUGGAGGGAACACCAGUUGGCGAAGGCCGACUUUUCUGGUCUGUAACUGACGCUGAGGCGCGAAAAGCGUGGUGAGCAAACAGGAUUAGAUACCCUGGUAGUCCACGCCGUAAACGAUGAGUGCUAAGUGUUAGGGGGUUUUCCGCCCUUUAGUUGCUGCAGCUAACGCAUUUAGCCACUCCGCUGGGGGAGUACGGUCGCAAGACUGAAACUCAAGAAAUUUGACCGGA
rnacentral:rRNA from 1 species